rnacentral:rRNA from 1 species
AGAAUCAACGCUGGCGGCGUGCCUAACACAUGCAAGUCGAACGCGGAUACCCCGCAAGGGGUGACUGAGUGGCAAACGGGUGAGUAACGCGUGGGUGACCUACCUUCGAGUGGGGGAUAACGUUUCGAAAGGAACGCUAAUACCGCAUGACAUCCUGCCUUUGGACAGGCGGAGAUCAAAGCCGGGAUCGCAAGACCUGGCGCUUAAAGAGGGGCCCGCGUCCGAUUAGCUAGUUGGUGGGUAACGCUCACCAAGGCGACGAUCGGUA